AGUUAUCACAACUCUGUACAAACUGAUACGGUCCCUAGCGGGCAAAAGGGACUGGAAAUGAACGUCGCGGGGUUAUCAGCGCCGAUCUGUCAGCGGCAACUCGCGCGGCCGCAGGCUCGUCCGCUGCAGGAGCCGUGAUAUAUGUCUCGCUCCCUUUCGCUUACAGAAAGGAUUUCUUCCGACAGACGUGACCCCAGAAGGCUGCCGAGGGAGACUUUAGGACAAGAGGCGUUGUUUUUUUUCAGCGUGGCCGCAUUUGGAAAAGGCUGAAGGUAGAAAACUCUGGAAUGGAGAGGCUGGCGACUGGAGCAGGAUCCAGGGGCUUUAAAUUUUAACCUGAAUGCGAUCGAAUGCGCGACUCCCAGAAGAGAUAGCCAGGCGUCCGCCCGGCCGCUCAACCCCCGCCAGGACUCGGAAUGCCUUGCUUUUGGUUCUUUUCUACAAGGAUGUCUGCGUGGAUAUCCCUGGACACUCGAUACCCCCCGGGGACCUGCUUUUCCCGCAGCUCCGCAGACGCGGCGGGAGGGCGCGCUGGCCCCGGCGCUGCUGGGACAGAGGUGAGCAGCGGGGUGGACAUUGACCGAUUCGACAACGUUCGGGCUCUAAGGGCUCGGGAAGGGACCCGGCAUUUUACCCUCCAGAUUCCCAAUCUAUUUUUAAAAAUAAUGUUCAAAACAUAUGGGAAAAAUAAGUGAUUGCUCCUUUUCAUGGUCACAGAUUGUAUUUAUUUUUUCAGACUGGUUUUCCAACCUAACGAGGGAAUGGGUAGUGAAUGUUGUUGUUGUUGUUGUUGUUUAUGUUGGUUAAUUUCGAAAUAAAACUGUUUAACUCGUACAGUUGAUUCAGACAGAAAACCA
rnacentral:lncRNA from 10 species